rnacentral:rRNA from 1 species
AAUGAACGCUGGCGGCAUGCCUUACACAUGCAAGUCGAACGGCAGCAUGACCUAGCUUGCUAGGUUGAUGGCGAGUGGCGAACGGGUGAGUAAUGCAUCGGAACGUGCCUUUUAGUGGGGGAUAACGUAGCGAAAGUUACGCUAAUACCGCAUAUUCUCUGAGGAGGAAAGCAGGGGACCUUCGGGCCUUGCGCUAGAAGAGCGGCCGAUGUCGGAUUAGCUAGUUGGUGAGGUAAAGGCUCACCAAGGCAACGAUCCGUAGCGGGUCUGAGAGGAUGAUCCGCCACACUGGGACGGAAGCACGGCCCAGACUCCUACGGGAGGCAGCGGGGGGGAAUUUUGGAAAAGGGGGGAAAGCCUGAUCCAGCCAUGCCGGGGGAGGGAAGAAGGCCUUGGGGUUGUAAAGCGCUUUCGGCUGGGAAGAAAUCGCACCCUCUAAAACAGGGUGUGGAUGACGGUACCAGAAAAAGAAGCACCGGCUAACUACGU